CCUACGGGUGGCAGCAGUGAGGAAUAUUGGUCAAUGGACGAGAGUCUGAACCAGCCAAGUAGCGUGAAGGAUGACUGCCCUAUGGGUUGUAAACUUCUUUUAUAUGGGAAUAAAAUGUUCCACGUGUGGGAUUUUGUAUGUACCAUAUGAAUAAGGAUCGGCUACCUCCGUGCCAUCAGCCGCGGUAAUACGGAGGAUUCGAGCGUUAUCCGGAUUUAUUGGGUUUAAAGGGAGCGUAGGUGGAUUGUUAAGUCAGUUGUGAAAGUUUGCGGCUCAACCGUAAAAUUGCAGUUGAAACUGGCAGUCUGGAGUACAGUAGAGGUGGGCGGAAUUCGUGGUGUAGCGGUGAAAUGCUUAGAUAUCACGAAGAACUCCGAGUGCGAAGGCAGCUCACUGGACUGCAACUGACACUGAGGCUCGAAAGUGUGGGUAUCAAACAGGAUUAGAUACCCCAGUAGUC
rnacentral:rRNA from 1 species